rnacentral:rRNA from 1 species
CGGCGUGCCUAAUACAUGCAAGUCAACGGCUUUCUAUGGAAGCUUGCUUCCACUGAGAAGAUAGUGGCGAACGGGUGAGGUAACACGUGGGGUAACCCUGCCCAUAAGAGGGGGGAUAACAUCCGGAAACGGGUGCUAAUACCGCAUAGUUUCUUGAUCGCAUGAUUGAGAAAGGAAAGACGGCCUUUGUGCUGUCGCUUAUGGAUGGACCCGCGGCGUAUUAGUUAGUUGGUGAGGUAACGGCUCACCAAGACGAUGAUACGUAGCCGACCUGAGAGGGUCGAUCGGCCACAUUGGGACUGAGACACGGCCCAAACUCCUACGGGAGGCAGCAGUAGGGAAUCUUCCGCAAUGGACGAAAGUCUGACGGAGCAACGCCGCGUGAGUGAAGAAAGGUUUUCGGAUCGUAAAACUCUGUUGUCAGAGAAGAACAAGUUGGAGAGUAACUGCUCCAGCCUUGACGGUAUCUGACCAGAAAGCCACGGCUAACUACGUGCCAGCAGCCGC